rnacentral:tRNA from 1 species
GGGCGUGGCGCAGUCCGGUAGCGCGCCUGCUUUGGGAGCAGGAGGUCCCGGGUUCGAAUCCCGGCGCCC